rnacentral:rRNA from 1 species
AGAGUUUGAUCCUGGCUCAGGACGAACGCUGGCGGCGUGCUUAACACAUGCAAGUCGAACGAUGAAGCUGGAGCUUGCUCCAGUGGAUUAGUGGCGAACGGGUGAGUAACACGUGAGAAAUCUGCCCCUGACUCUGGGAUAACUGCGGGAAACUGUAGCUAAUACCGGAUACUUUCCCCGGUGGGCAUCCACUGGGGAAGAAAGAAUUUCGGUCAGGGAGGAUCUCGCGGCCUAUCAGCUUGUUGGUGAGGUAACGGCUCACCAAGGCGACGACGGGUAACCGGCCUGAGAGGGUGACCGGUCACACUGGGACUGAGACACGGCCCAGACUCCUACGGGAGGCAGCAGUGGGGAAUAUUGCACAAUGGGCGCAAGCCUGAUGCAGCAACGCCGCGUGAGGGAUGACGGCCUUCGGGUUGUAAACCUCUUUUAGCAGGGAAGAAGCGAAAGUGACGGUACCUGCAGAAAAAGCACCGGCUAACUACGUGCCAGCAGCCGCGGUAAUACGUAGGGUGCAAGCGUUGUCCGGAAUUAUUGGGCGUAAAGAGCUCGUAGGCGGUUUGUCACGUCUGCUGUGAAAAUCCAAGGCUCAACCUUGGACUUGCAGUGGGUACGGGCAGGCUAGAGUGCGGUAGGGGAGAUGGGAAUUCCUGGUGUAGCGGUGGAAUGCGCAGAUAUCAGGAGGAACACCAAUGGCGAAAGGCACAUCUCUGGGCCGUAACUGACGCUGAGGAGCGAAAGCGUGGGGAGCGAACAGGAUUAGAUACCCUGGUAGUCCACGCCGUAAACGGUGGGUGCUAGCUGUGGGCCACAUUCCACGUGGUCCGUGACGAAGUUAACACAUUAAGCACCCCGCCUGGGGGAGUACGGCCGCAAGGCUAAACUCAAGGAAUUGACGG